AGAGUUUGAUCCUGGCUCAGGACGAACGUUGGCGGUGCGCUUAAUGCAUGCAAGUCGAGGGAGAACCAUUUGAUUCGUAAGAUUCGAAUGGGGAAACCGGCGAACGGGUGCGUAACACGUGAGGAACCUGCCCUGAAGAUCGGGAUAGCCCGGGGAAACCCGGAUUAAUACCGAAUAUCCUCUCCGGACCGCAUGGUCUGGUGAGGAAAUGGUCCGCCGCUUCAGGAUGGCCUCGCGGCCUAUCAGCUUGUUGGUGAGGUAACGGCUCACCAAGGCUAAGACGGGUAGCUGGUCUGAGAGGACGAUCAGCCACACUGGGACUGAGACACGGCCCAGACUCCUACGGGAGGCAGCAGCAGGGAAUAUUGCACAAUGGGCGAAAGCCUGAUGCAGCGACACCGCGUGCGGGAUGAAGGCCUUCGGGUUGUAAACCGCUUUCAGGAGGGACGAAAAUGACGGUACCUCCAGAAGAAGGCCCGGCCAACUACGUGCCAGCAGCCGCGGUAACACGUAGGGGCCAAACGUUGUCCGGAUUUAUUGGGCGUAAAGGGCUCGUAGGCGGUUCAACAAGUCGAUCGUGAAAACCCGGGGCUCAACCCCGGGACGCCGGUCGAAACUGUUGUGACUAGGGUCCGGUAGAGGUGAGUGGAAUUCUCGGUGUAGCGGUGGAAUGCGCAGAUAUCGAGAGGAACACCAGUUGCGAAGGCGGCUCACUGGGCCGGUACCGACGCUAAGGAGCGAAAGCAUGGGGAGCAAACAGGAUUAGAUACCCUGGUAGUCCAUGCCGUAAACUGUGAACACUAGGUGUGGCGGAUCUAUUGAUGUCUGCCGUACCGUAGCUAACGCGUUAAGUGUUCCGCCUGGGGAGUACGGCCGCAAGGCUAAAACUCAAAGGAAUUGACGGGACCCCGCACAAGCGGCGGAGCAUGCGGCUUAAUUCGAUGCAACCCGAAGAACCUUACCUGGACUUGACAUCAUGGGUCUACCUGUGGAAACACAGGGUGCUUUUGCGCCCAUGACAGGUGGUGCAUGGCUGUCGUCAGCUCGUGUCGUGAGAUGUCGGGUUAAGUCCCUUAACGAGCGAAACCCUUGUCCUUAGUUGCCAGCGGGUAAUGCCGGGGACUCUAGGGAGACUGCCGGUGUUAAACCGGAGGAAGGUGGGGAUGACGUCAAGUCCUCAUGGCCUUUAUGACCAGGGCUGCACACGUCCUACAAUGGCGCGUACAGAGGGAAGCAACCUCGCGAGAGCAAGCUAAUCUCAAAAAGCGCGUCUCAGUUCGGAUUGCAGGCUGCAACUCGCCUGCAUGAAGCCGGAAUCGCUAGUAAUCGCAGGUCAGCAUACUGCGGUGAAUGUGUUCCUGAGCCUUGUACACACCGCCCG
rnacentral:rRNA from 1 species